rnacentral:autocatalytically_spliced_intron from 1 species
AGGAGCCGUAUGCGGUAGUUCCGCACGUAUGGAUCUGUGCGAGGAGCGGCAGGCAACUGCCGUCCCUACCGCGACCGUAUCGGGAGCCACCUUGUAGAAAGGUCUUUCGAAGGAUGGGCUAUCUCAC